GAUGAACGCUGGCGGCGUGCCUAAUACAUGCAAGUCGAGCGGAGUAGAUUGGAAGCUUGCUUCCAAUCUACUCAGCGGCGGACGGGUGAGUAACACGUGGGUAACCUGCCCUUUAGACUGGGAUAACAUCAGGAAACUGGUGCUAAUACCGGAUAGGAACUUUGGUCGCAUGGCCGAGGUUGGAAAGGUGGCGCAAGCUACCACUAAAGGAUGGACCCGCGGCGCAUUAGCUAGUUGGUGGGGUAACGGCCUACCAAGGCGACGAUGCGUAGCCGACCUGAGAGGGUGAUCGGCCACACUGGGACUGAGACACGGCCCAGACUCCUACGGGAGGCAGCAGUAGGGAAUUUUGGACAAUGGGGGCAACCCUGAUCCAGCCAUGCCGCGUGAGUGAAGAAGGCCUUCGGGUUGUAAAGCUCUUUCGGCCGGGAAGAAAUCGCAUAGGCUAAUACCCUGUGUGGAUGACGGUACCGGAAUAAGAAGCACCGGCUAACUACGUGCCAGCCGCCGCCGUAAGAC
rnacentral:rRNA from 1 species